UACAGAGGGUGGCGAGCGUUGUCCGGAAUCACUGGGCUUAAAGCGUGUGUAGGUGGAUGCCUAAGUACCUUGUGAAAUCCCAUGGCUUAACCAUGGAAUUGCUUGGUAUACUGGGUGUCUUGAGCCACUCAGGGGCUACUGGAACAAACGGUGGAGCGGUGAAAUGCGUAGAUAUCGUUUGGAACGCCAAUGGUGAAAACAGGUAGCUGGGGGUGUGCUGACACUGAGACACGAAAGCCAGGGAGCAAACGGG
rnacentral:rRNA from 1 species